rnacentral:lncRNA from 1 species
CGCAUUUCCUGACAAUGCUUCCAUUUUCAUGGUAGUUAUUGGUAAUAGUCUCUUUGGUAAUUCGUAGCUGGUUAGCUAACAUGUUUUCACUUUUCCACUUCUGCAAUAAAGAAACUUAAAAUUCUGAAAUUACAAAUAAAAGUUUUCAAGCUAGUGAUGUCCUGUUUUCUUACGAAUGUUUUUUAUUUUAUUUUUUUUUUUUUGGAGAUACCUGGUUUUGCUGUGUUGUCCAGGCUAGACUUGAACUCCUGGGCUUGAACUCCUGAGCUUAAGUGAUCCUCCCACCUCAGCCUCUUGAGUCGCUGGGAUUACAGAUGUUAGCCACUUCACCUGGCCCUUGCUAUUAACGUUUUUAACACAACAUAUAUGUUAUUACUUUGCCACUGUUCCUAUUACCAUUUUGUCCAGUCUUAGACAGUUUACUGGGCCAAAUGACUUCCCUGGAAGAAGGUAUCUAAAUGCACCAGAUAAACACAGUGCUUCAAAAAGAGAAUACCCUGUCCAAUGAUGUCACAGCAUUACCCGUUAGAGACAAUCCAGAAGAGAAGUGAAGAAGGUAGCAACCUUUCAAGUUUUGCUAUUGAUUAUUGGGGGGAAAAGAUAAUUUUAAGGGAAAAACAAUGAUAAUCUAUUUAUAAUAUUCAAGAGAAAAGUAAGUGUUUGAGAGUCUUGGCAAGACUCACUAAGAAACUCAUAUUGUUCAUUCAGUGUGAUUUCAGAUAUUUUGAAGGGCACAUAGAAUUGAAUAUGACAACUCUUAUUAGUAUUGCCCAUUUAAAAGGACAGAAAGCAAGAAAGUGAGACAACUGACUGAUUAGAUUAUGGCACCUGAGCACAAUAAUAGGCAGGAAAAAACCCUAAUAUUCUACUGCCUAUCUGUCUCCUGAUAGAUUAAGAUAUUCCCCAAACCACUGCUUUCAAAAUUAAAACUGAAGCUUAGGCUGGGCGCGGUGACUCAUGCCUGUAAUGCCAGCACUUUGGGGGGCUGAAGUGAGCAGAUCACCUGAGGUCAGGAGUUCGAGACCAG